UCAUUUCAAUACAAAUACUUGUUCUUUCUCUUCUUCCACUUCACUACCAUUCUCUUCCACAGUAGCACGAAUUAGGGGAUAAAGAUGGGUUCUAAUCUCUCAAUUUUACUUCUUCUUCGAUCAAACAGAACUACUUCUUUUUUCUGGGUGUAAGCAUCAAGAAAAUGGCGAAAUGAUGGUGGCGAGAGUAAAAUUGGCAAAUGAGUACAGAUAUUCCUAUGCUUCUUGAAUCAAUUUUCGUAUGCCACUGUUAGUAUUCAGAUCAAAGUCAGAAGAGAAUUUUAAACAGAAUCUGUCCUGUGGCAAGUCAGAUUUGGAAACCUAUGAGAAAGAUUUGGAAAAACACACCAGCUUCUGUUUGUUGGAUAUUAAUUAUGGAAGGGAAGAAAUGCAAGAUGUUUUGAAAGAAAAGCAGAUUAUGUACAGAAGACUAAGGUUACAUGCUUAUGACUUUUGGCUUUUUGGUUGAUCUUCAAGAUGAAAAUAGCUUGGUAAAUUUCAUAGACUCAUUACAAAGAUAUUUGUACAGAAGAACCUUUUCUUUUUGCUUUUGUGUAUAAGAGGGUUAUGACGAUAUUAAUGUACUAGCACCAAGUUAUUGCUACAUUAUUUUUAUUUUUUUCCUUAUCAAUUUAAGCCUGUAUAGAUGGAAUCUUUAGGAUGAAAAUGAAUUUUUCGAUUAAUUUGUCUUCUUCUUUCUU